rnacentral:lncRNA from 1 species
GUGAUUACUUAUUGUGACAUUGUAAUCAAGGACAUAUGGACGGAUUAACAGCAAGAAUCAGUUUCGGACAUGAUCUUCCCUGGAGAAUUCACUACAGUUUAUUUCUCUGUCUUUUCACGACGUCAGAGUCUGAUGGGCGAUAUUUUCCUGAGUAACAUGUGCCUAGGGAGCUAUUAGAGGAUGUAGAGAGAAAUCUGUUUUGAUUUGUUACUUAUAAUAUGCAAGGAAGUGCAGAGAGAAAGAGCGAGAGAGAGAAGGAGAGGAGAAAAAGAAAAGAGAUCCAGCAGAGGGAAAACGUGUCUCGGAGGAAUUCCGCAGGCUCCUCACAGCAUAAUCAGGACAGCACUGAUACAGAUAACCUCAAAAGCUGCUUUGAGUUAUGGAGGCUGAGAAGUUACAGUUUGAGAAGCCGCAUCUGCUGA